AGGACAAGGAACCCCUUAGGUAAAGAAGGAACAUUCUUUUCUGAGGCCCACCUAUCAUGGACAAGAAUCGACCAAAUAUGGACAACUAGAGGACUGGCACCUAAGAUCAGAAAAGUGGAAAUCUGUCCAAAGACUUGCUCCGACCAUAAUGCUUUGAAAGUGGAAUUGAGACUUACUCCAACCGGUUCUUUCAGAUGGAAAAUGAAUGACACCCUACUAAGAGAUCAGGAGAUUGUGAAGAAGGCCCAAAAAACUUUAAAGGACUAUUUUGAAAUCAAUUUGAACACUUCGGUGGAAAAGAGAACAAUUUGGGAUGCAAGUAAAGCUGUAAUGAGGGGGUUUCUGAUACAACAGAACACAAUCAAGAAAAAACUUCGGAAUGGAAAAAAGACAGGAUAUUAG